rnacentral:rRNA from 1 species
CCUACGGGGGGCUGCAGUAAGGAAUAUUGGUCAAUGGACGAAAGUCUGAACCAGCCAUCCCGCGUGCAGGAUGAAAGCCCUAUGGGUUGUAAACUGCUUUUAGCAGAGAAGAAAAGCUUUCAUUAAUGAGAGUCUGACGGUAUCUGCAGAAUAAGCACCGGCUAACUCCGUGCCAGCAGCCGCGGUAAUACGGAGGGUGCGAGCGUUAUCCGGAUUAACGGGGUUGUAGGCGGAGGAAGACGGCAGAUUAGAAAUUUUGUCGCUUAACGAUAAAAUUGGCAAUGAUACUGGUACUCUUGAAUUGGGUUGAGGUUAGCGGAAUGUGACAUGUAGCGAGGAAAUGCAUAGAUAUGUCAUGGAACACCAAUUGCGAAGGCAGCUAACUGGGCCUUGAUUGACGCUGAGGCACGAAAGCGUGGGUAGCGAACAGGAUUAGAUACCCCAGUAGUC